GAGCUCUUACGAAGGUCACAUGAAACACAUUUAAGACUCAAAGAAAGGCCCUUGCCAAAGAAAGGUGCAGACAGCUGGAGAGCUCUUACGAAGGUCACAUGAAACACAUUUAAGACUCAAAGAAAGGCCCUUGCCCAAGAGAGAUGCAGGCGACAAAAAAGACAACUUAAGUGUGCAUCCCGUUGACAAAGCCAUUAACUAUGUUCAGAAUCGAAAACAAUGCCUAUUUUUAGUCAUACAAGUUUAUCUGAAAGCUGAUACAGAACUAAGCUACGAGAUCCAGCUAAAACUAUUCAUGCAUAAAUCUAAGCGGAAAAUAAAAACCUAAAUCUAGUAGUUAGAUUAAAGACAAAAAAUGAGUAAAUACAUUUUCAAUAUUUCAAGCACGUACAAAAUAUUCAGUCCUAAAGUUGAAUCAACAUUGAACAAGGUGGUGAACUAAAGAGAGGAUGCCAAAUAAAAAUGUAAAAAAUUGGUCAAACUUUAUGAUCAUCACUGACUUUGCCAAAGCUGCCUUAAAAAUAGUAUUCGAAAUAGUCAUUAAAAAAAAAAUCAUUUUAAAAUUUAAUUUAGAAUUAUUUUUUUCAAAAUAAUGUUGCCGUAUAGAUGAUUCUCAUCAUUUAUAGCUGCCACAGAUAACAUCCAUCUGAUCAUCAAGUAAACAUUAUCUCACCAACUACAUAAACAAACAAUUGUUUUUAAGAUAAACAUUUCUUCACAAACCGCACACAAAAAAAAAAGAAAAAAAAAUGUGUAUAAAAUGUAGGUAUAUGUGCAUAAUGCCAAGCAGAAAUGUACUCACUAAAUGGUAAUGUAAUCAUUACAGAAGUUAAAUCUACAUUUUCAUUGUCAGUAAAAAAUAAAAAAUAAAGAUAUUUAGAAAAUAAAAAAAAAAGAUUUCAGUCAAUAAAAAUGUCAGGUUAUUAAAUAAACAAAAAAAAAGAUUUUAAAAUUCAUUCAGUUUUUAGAAUGAACAUUUUCUAUUAGGAGAGAGGGAGGAGUGGUGGGAGAGUAUUGGUUAAAAAAAGUUUAGGAGUAUUGGAAGUGACAAUACUCGCACUCCCCAUUUGGAUCUUUUUUUUUAAAGAGUUAUCUGCUCUAAAUUAACUCGAUUAGCUAACUUUAGCCUACUACCUAGUAAGGUCAAACUAAAGUCUACUACCUAGUAAGGUCAAACUACCUGGCUAUGUCCUUCUUUUUGUUUUACAUGUUUCGGAUGUUCCUUCAGAUUUUGAAGAUAAUUACAUACUAGUCCGAAAACUCCCACAGGACAAACAGGGGAUGGUGGUAGGCAGGGUUUGAAUCCGGGAACAUCAACACUAUUGAUUGACAGUCUAGAGCGCAUGCCACCCAACCAGGUAGCAUGCUGAAAUUUAUUU
rnacentral:sRNA from 1 species